GUGGGGAAUAUUGCACAAUGGGGGAAACCCUGAUGCAGCGACGCCGCGUGAGUGAAGAAGUAUUUCGGUACGUAAAGCUCUAUCAGCAAGGAAGAAAAUGACGGUACUUGACUAAUAAGCCCCGGCUAACUACGUGCCAGCAGCCGCGGUAAUACGUAGGGGGCAAGCGUUAUCCGGAUUUACUGGGUGUAAAGGGAGCGUAGACGGUAUGGUAAGUCAGAUGUGAAAGCCCGGGGCUCAACCCCGGAACUGCAUUUGAAACUAUCAGACUAGAGUGCAGGAGAGGUAAGUGGAAUUCCUAGUGUAGCGGUGAAAUGCGUAGAUAUUAGGAGGAACACCAGUGGCGAAGGCGGCUUACUGGACUGUAACUGACGUUGAGGCUCGAAAGCGUGGGGAGCAAACAGGAUUAGAAACCCUUGUAGUCC
rnacentral:rRNA from 1 species